GAAUUUAGAAAACCAUCAAAAUAGUAUGAUUCUCCGUAUGUGAUUGGAAGAGUCAACUUGAACACUUUAAACUGAUCUGAACAAACUGCACGAGGCAUUGCAAAUGUUUACUCGGUGUUGUAUUGAUUCUUGACUGGCUGUUAAUUUUAUACAAGCUAAAGACGACCUUAUUUUGAAUAUAAUUUUGAAAGAGUCAGACCGCUAUUAACUGGUUAUGCACAAGGCAUUUUAGAUUUGCAAGCGGGGAUGAAUCUUGACAGGCUGUUAAUUUUAUAGAAGCUAAUGUUGACCUUAUUUUAAAUAUAAUAGAGUGUUAUUGUCUGGAGGUGUUUGAUAUUCAGUCAGUAGAACAUGCAAAAUAUUGAAAUGAUUUGCUGCUGUGACUGUGUUUAUGAUUAUCCACGGCAAG
rnacentral:lncRNA from 1 species